GUGAUUGCCUAGAAAUGGCUUCCGUGACAAGUUUCCAUACUGUAGUCAAAGGCUAUCACAAACAUCAACGUGAUUCCUACCGACAGGACCUGUCAAGCAUUCAGGUGACCUGUGCGAUGGUUUCAUACAAC